AUUUUAAUGAUAAUUUUAAAACAGUAGGAGAAGUAUCUUUAUUAAGGAUCAAAUAGAAAAGAACAAGAUGUAGGUAAAUAUUGUGCCAAUUUUUGUGGCAAACCAUGUUUAAGAGAGAAAACGGUUUAAUUUCAUCUAUGAUUUUAAAAGAUAUAUAAACAAUUAUGCUAUUUACGAAAGAUUAAUGAGACUUAUCUAUUCGGAAAGAUCAUUAACUCUGGUGGUGUUACUGUUUUCAAGACAGACAGAGACAGAUACCAGAAACUUAUGACAUAUAAACAUGUCAGCAGAGUUUGAGCUUGUUUUGCUAUAUCUAUAAAAACAAGAUUGACGAAAAAAGAUCAUUUAUUAAAAAUCAUAAAAUGCAAAAAAUUACAAUUUGCAAAUAAAACAUUUGACAUAAAAGUUCAUAAUUAAUAUGCAAUUAUUAUAAUACAUAAUUAAUACGAAAUUACAUCACUAAAAUCAUAUCAAUUGAAUAAAUGACAAAUAAUAGCAAAGGUGGGGAGAAAAAUCUGCCACAAAUACACUUUUACAUUAAGAGUAAACCCCCCACCCCCCAAAAAAAAAAGUUUUACUGCCUGAAAGCCACUCUCGUAACCAAGUUUUCUCAUAUUAUUUCCAUAUUUGAUCAGAUCUAACAUCAUGUGCGGAUACUUAGUAAGAUAAAUUGAUAAAAAUAUCUUAAAGGCGUUAUUCCAUUGGUGCAUGCUUGAAAUUGCUUUUGGGUUUGAAUUUGAAGUUUUUUUCAUUUACAUGAUAUGCUAAAGGCAAUGAGUUCUUGAUUAAAUUUACAGAGCUAAAUGUUAUAGGAGUAGUACCCUCCCUCUGUGAGGCUAAAUAAUAGUUCAAUGGUACAGGCAUCGAAGUGUUGUCUUGAAGCAAGCUGGUGUUAAAUGGAUGUACAACAGUGUUCAUUACGGUUGAUGAAUAACAAGGCAUUGGUGGAAUAACUAAGCUUGGGUUUCUCAUUGUAGAGGUACUUGCUUGAGUUUGCUGUGCUGCUGGAUUAACUAACUCAGCUAGAGACGGCUGAUGUUGAGAUGUUGGUUCUUAAGAUGUUGUUUCAUUUGACCGCAUACGGUUAAGUAAUGCUUAAGCAAUUUCGUCUGCUAUAGGCAUUUUUUCAGGAGGACUUGUGGAAGCCAGGUUAAAUCCACCAUUUUCUGAAUUAGAAAAUGUCUGUACCAAGUCACGAAUAUGACAGUUGUUAUCCAUUAGUUUGAUGUGUUUGAACUUUUGAUUUUGCCAUUUGAUAAGGGGCUUUCCUCUUUGAAUUUUCCUCGCUCUUCGGUAUAUUGUUGGUUUUACUUGCAAUUGAAUGUGCCCUAUUCCUAGCAAUUUACACAUUGCAGGUGACCAAUAUUUUGUACAUGAAAUGUGUUGUUAAUAAGAGAAGAAAUGUUAGAAUAUGCAAAGAUCUGAUUUAUAUUUCAGUUAACAAUUGUCCUUGUGGAUAAGUUAAGAUCCCCAGUUUGUGAUAUCGCCCA
rnacentral:lncRNA from 1 species